rnacentral:rRNA from 1 species
GACGAACGCUGGCGGCGUGCUUAACACAUGCAAGUCGAACGGAAAGGCCCUGCUUUUGUGGGGUGCUCGAGUGGCGAACGGGUGAGUAACACGUGAGUAACCUGCCCUUGACUUUGGGAUAACUUCAGGAAACUGGGGCUAAUACCGGAUAGGAGCUCCUGCUGCAUGGUGGGGGUUGGAAAGUUUCGGCGGUUGGGGAUGGACUCGCGGCUUAUCAGCUUGUUGGUGGGGUAGUGGCUUACCAAGGCUUUGACGGGUAGCCGGCCUGAGAGGGUGACCGGCCACAUUGGGACUGAGAUACGGCCCAGACUCCUACGGGAGGCAGCAGUGGGGAAUAUUGCACAAUGGGCGGAAGCCUGAUGCAGCAACGCCGCGUGCGGGAUGACGGCCUUCGGGUUGUAAACCGCUUUCGCCUGUGACGAAGCGUGAGUGACGGUAAUGGGUAAAGAAGCACCGGCUAACUACGUGCCAGCAGCCGCGGUGAUACGUAGGGUGCGAGCGUUGUCCGGAUUUAUUGGGCGUAAAGGGCUCGUAGGUGGUUGAUCGCGUCGGAAGUGUAAUCUUGGGGCUUAACCCUGAGCGUGCUUUCGAUACGGGUUGACUUGAGGAAGGUAGGGGAGAAUGGAAUUCCUGGUGGAGCGGUGGAAUGCGCAGAUAUCAGGAGGAACACCAGUGGCGAAGGCGGUUCUCUGGGCCUUUCCUGACGCUGAGGAGCGAAAGCGUGGGGAGCGAACAGGCUUAGAUACCCUGGUAGUCCACGCUGUAAACGGUGGGUACUAGGUGUGGGGUCCAUUCCACGGGUUCCGUGCCGUAGCUAACGCUUUAAGUACCCCGCCUGGGGAGUACGGCCGCAAGGCUAAAACUCAAAGGAAUUGACGGGGCCCCGCACAAGCGGCGGAGCAUGCGGAUUAAUUCGAUGCAACGCGUAGAACCUUACCUGGGUUUGACAUGGAUCGGGAGUGCUCAGAGACGGGUGUGCCUCUUUUGGGGUCGGUUCACAGGUGGUGCAUGGCUGUCGUCAGCUCGUGUCGUGAGAUGUUGGGUUAAGUCCCGCAACGAGCGCAACCCUUGUUCACUGUUGCCAGCACGUUAUGGUGGGGACUCAGUGGAGACCGCCGGGGUCAACUCGGAGGAAGGUGGGGAUGACGUCAAGUCAUCAUGCCCCUUAUGUCCAGGGCUUCACGCAUGCUACAAUGGCUGGUACAGGGAGUGGCGAGCCUGUGAGGGUGAGCGAAUCUCGGAAAGCCGGUCUCAGUUCGGAUUGGGGUCUGCAACUCGACCUCAUGAAGUCGGAGUCGCUAGUAAUCGCAGAUCAGCAACGCUGCGGUGAAUACGUUCCCGGG